rnacentral:rRNA from 1 species
GACGAACGCUGGCGGCGUGCUUAACACAUGCAAGUCGAACGGAAAGGCCCUGCUUUUGUGGGGUGCUCGAUUGGCGAACGGGUGAGUAUCACGUGAGUAACCUGCCCUUGACUUUGGGAUAACUUCAGGAAACUGGGGCUCAUACCGGAUAGGAGCUCCUGCUGCAUGGUGGGGGUUGGAAAGUUUCGGCGGUUGUGGAUGGACUCGCGGCUUAUCAGCUUGUUGGUGGGGUAGUGGCUUACAAAGCCUUUGACGGGUAGCCGGCCUGAGAGGGGUACCGGCCACAUUGGGACUGAGAUACGGCGCAGACUCCUACGGGAGGCAGCAGGGGGGAAUAUUGCACAAUGGGCGGAAGCCUGAUGCAGCAACGCCGCGUGCGGGAUGACGGCCUUCGGGUUGUAAACCGCUUUCGCCGGUGACGAAGCGUGAGUGACGGUAAUGGGUAAAGAAGCACCGGCUAACUACGUG